UACGUAGGGUGCGAGCGUUAAUCGGAAUUACUGGGCGUAAAGCGUGCGCAGGCGGUUUUGUAAGACAGAUGUGAAAUCCCCGGGCUUAACCUGGGAACUGCAUUUGUGACUGCAAGACUAGAGUAUGGCAGAGGGGGGUGGAAUUCCACGUGUAGCAGUGAAAUGCGUAGAGAUGUGGAGGAACACCGAUGGCGAAGGCAGCCCCCUGGGCCAAUACUGACGCUCAUGCACGAAAGCGUGGGGAGCAAACAGG
rnacentral:rRNA from 1 species